CCUGGACGCCAUUUCCCCCUAUUUUCCGUACAACAAAAUGGCGGCGGCGCUGCCUCCCUCUCUCCCCCCCACUCCCCUCACCCCGCUGCCGGCAUGCGCCUCCCGGCAGGCUGUGCGGCGCCGUACGGCAGCAUGGCGGCGCCCGGAGCGGCGGCGGCGGGGCUGGUGCAGUACGUGGUGCUGCGGGGGGACCUGGCCCGGUCGUGGCCGCUGGGCGCGGCGGUGGCUCAGGCUUGCCACGCCGCCCUGGCCGCCGUUCAUGCGCACCGCCAGCACCCGGACACUAGCGCCUACCUGGAGCAGGGCGGCGCCAUGCGCACCGUCGUGCUGGAGGCUCCGGACGAAGCCGCCCUGAUGUCGCUGGCGGAGACCCUGAAGCAGCACAGCGUCGACCACCAAGUGUGGACUGAGCAGCCCGAGAACGUGGCCACCUGCCUGGCGCUCAGGCCCUACCCCAAGGACCAAGUGCACCAGCACCUGAAGAAAUUUAAAUUGCUGAAGUGACUGGGCACAGGCAGCUCCUCCUGGGCCAGAGGCGAGCUCUCCCCGAGGCAGGCGGCAGGAGGAGGGCUGCUGUGUCUCGGGAGCGCUGUGCUAACUCCCAGCAGCAGCGCUUUGGGAUUUAAACCGCCGUUUUUGCCACCGAGCUCCGCGCACCGGCUGAUUUCCAGCUCCCCAGCGUGAGGAACCGCAGCGACAGGGGGGUUCCCGGUGCCAGGACGGAGUGACCCCCGGCUGCCCCACACCUCCACCCCCAUCGGCACAGAAACAACGAAACAUUAGCUGGCAAUUCCGGUUCUUUUUUUUCUUUUUUUUUUUUUUUUUUGGUUGGUUUUUUUGUUUGUUUGUGUCAUCUUUAACUCUUGCAAAUGUCAAUCAACAAAGCUACACGUUUUUCCACACACCAGCGCGAUUUUUUUUAGAGAGGGAAAAAAAAUAAAAAUCCCCCACAGCCGCCACCCACCCCCCCAUAAAAGUCAGCAGUGAAUAUUAAAAGCGACCCCCAACUAAAAGAGAAGAAAACAAAUUUAUACAGAGCUCAGAGCUAUUUACAGUGACAGGCUUGAGGGGAAAAAAAAAAUAAGCUAUCUCCCAACAGAGAAGUCAAUUAUUAUUAUUAUUUUAUUAUUAUUAUUUUAAAUAGUUUAAGCUACCUCAGCUGUUAAACACAAUCAAAGCAGAAAGAACCGACUGCUUAAUUUUAUUUAAUAUUUAAUCAGAAAAUUUUAUC